rnacentral:rRNA from 1 species
UACGAAAGGAUCAAGUGUUAUUCCCUCUAACUGGGCGUAUAGGGCCUCUAGACGGCACUGCAAGCCACAGGUGAAAUCCUAGUCCGCCGACGUGAAAGGCCUGUGGGACUACAGUAGGGUUCUUCUAGAAUAGUCUAGGAGGGUCCUCUUGCUAGGAUUCUUGACUAGGUUGUCGCACUUCGUGUACGGGAGGGAUCAAAUCCGUGCGGAAAAAGCACACCGUCCACGGAGUUCCAAAGCUGGAGAGAGCGACAUCUAGAGGAUUGACGUUUUAAGGCAAAAGCGUGGGAAUCGAUAGGG